AACGACUCUCGGCAACGGAUAUCUCGGCUCUCGCAUCGAUGAAGAACGUAGCGAAAUGCGAUACUUGGUGUGAAUUGCAGAAUCCCGUGAACCAUCGAGUCUUUGAACGCAAGUUGCGCCCGAAGCCAUUAGGCCAAGGCAYGUCUGGGUGGGUGUCACACAACG
rnacentral:rRNA from 1 species